rnacentral:rRNA from 1 species
AUGUCGAUGGCCGCCGCGCAGAUUCACCGCAGUCGAGGCCUGCUGGUGGUUGAACACCCCACCAAGGGCAACUUCGUCUUCGAGUUCAACCUCGACCGUCUAUUCUCCGGCGAACCCGACCAGGAGUUCCCACCGAUUCUCAACCUUCCCGACCCCGUCGCCAAGUUCAACAGCAUACAACCUACGGAAAACAUGGCCAUCACCGUCUCCGGCAACCUCAUCGUUGCCACCACCUCCCUCUCCCGGACUCUGCUCUACGACACCGGCUCGCGCUCCGCCUCCACCGGCCCGGACAUGCUGUCCGGCAAAAUCGAUAUCCUCCUCGUCCCCGUCGCAGACGGUACAUUCUUCGCCAUGUCCUUCUACCCACACCUCGACGACACUCCCCACGCCGAGCUUCUGGCUAGCAACACGGACGACGCCGGUGGUCGCUUGGCCUGGCACCCCAUCCCGGAUCUACCGCUGUCGUCCAUCCCUCGCCCUCGCUUCAAGAGGGAGUGGCACAUCUCGGGCUACUUUGUCGCUGGCACACGCGUCUAG